GGGUAGUUAGCUCAGCAGGUAGAGCAGCUGACUCUUAAUCAGCGGGCCGCGGGUUCGAAUCCUGUACUACCCA
rnacentral:tRNA from 1 species